rnacentral:rRNA from 1 species
UACGUAGGGGGCAAGCGUUGUCCGGAUUUAUUGGGCGUAAAGAGCGUGUAGGCGGCUAGGUAGGUUCGUUGUGAAAACUCGAGGCUCAACCUCGAGACGCCGGUGGAAACCAUCUAGCUAGAGUCCGGAAGAGGAGAGUGGAAUUCCUGGUGUAGCGGUGAAAUGCGCAGAUAUCAGGAAGAACACCCGUGGCGAAGGCGGCUCUCUGGUACGUGACUGACGCUGAGACGCGAAAGCGUGGGGAGCGAACAGG